CUUCUUGGGUGACGAGUGGCGGACGGGUGAGUAAUGUCUGGGAAACUGCCCGAUGGAGGGGGAUAACUACUGGAAACGGUAGCUAAUACCGCAUAACGUCUUCGGACCAAAGUGGGGGACCUUCGGGCCUCACGCCAUCGGAUGUGCCCAGAUGGGAUUAGCUAGUAGGUGGGGUAACGGCUCACCUAGGCGACGAUCCCUAGCUGGUCUGAGAGGAUGACCAGCCACACUGGAACUGAGACACGGUCCAGACUCCUACGGGAGGCAGCAGUGGGGAAUAUUGCACAAUGGGCGCAAGCCUGAUGCAGCCAUGCCGCGUGUAUGAAGAAGGCCUUCGGGUUGUAAAGUACUUUCAGCGGGGAGGAAGGCGAUGCGGUUAAUAACCGCGUCGAUUGACGUUACCCGCAGAAGAAGCACCGGCUAACUCCGUGCCAGCAGCCGCGGUAAUACGGAGGGUGCAAGCGUUAAUCGGAAUUACUGGGCGUAAAGCGCACGCAGGCGGUCUGUCAAGUCAGAUGUG
rnacentral:rRNA from 1 species